rnacentral:rRNA from 1 species
GAUGAACGCUGGCGGCGUGCCUAAUCAAUGCAGGUGGACCGCUGAAGGAGGGAGCUUGCUCUUUCCGGAUGAUUUGCGAACGGGUAAGUAACGCGUGGGUACCCUCCCGGGUGGCGGGGGAUAACUAUUGGAAACGAUAGCUAAUACCGCAUAAAAUUGGAUUUUCAUUGUUAUCUACUAAAAAGGUCCAUUUGCACCACUCCCGGAUGGACUUGCGUGGUAUUAGCUAGUUGGUGAGGUAAGGGCUCACCAAGGCGACGAUACAUAGCCGACCUGAGAGGGUGAUCGGCCACACUGGGACUGAGACACGGCCCAGACUCCUACGGGAGGCAGCAGUAGGGAAUCUUCGGCAAUGGACGGAAGUCUGACCGAGCAACGCCGCGUGAGUGAAGAAGGUUUUCGGAUCGUAAAGCUCUGUUGUAAGAGAAGAACGAGUGUGAGAGUGGAAAGUUCACACUGUGACGGUAUCCUACCAGAAAGGGACGGCUAACUACGUG